rnacentral:rRNA from 1 species
GACGAACGCUGGCGGCGUGCCUAAUACAUGCAAGUAGAACGCUGAAGAGAGGAGCUUGCUCUUCUUGGAUGAGUUGCGAACGGGUGAGUAACGCGUAGGUAACCUGCCUUGUAGCGGGGGAUAACUAUUGGAAACGAUAGCUAAUACCGCAUAACAAUGGAUGACACAUGUCAUUUAUUUGAAAGGGGCAAUUGCUCCACUACAAGAUGGACCUGCGUUGUAUUAGCUAGUAGGUGAGGUAACGGCUCACCUAGGCGACGAUACAUAGCCGACCUGAGAGGGUGAUCGGCCACACUGGGACUGAGACACGGCCCAGACUCCUACGGGAGGCAGCAGUAGGGAAUCUUCGGCAAUGGGGGCAACCCUGACCGAGCAACGCCGCGUGAGUGAAGAAGGUUUUCGGAUCGUAAAGCUCUGUUGUAAGUCAAGAACGAGUGUGAGAGUGGAAAGUUCACACUGUGACGGUAGCUUACCAGAAAGGGACGGCUAACUACGUGCCAGCAGCCGCGGUAAUACGUAGGUCCCGAGCGUUGUCCGGAUUUAUUGGGCGUAAAGCGAGCGCAGGCGGUUUGAUAAGUCUGAAGUUAAAGGCUGUGGCUCAACCAUAGUUCGCUUUGGAAACUGUCAAACUUGAGUGCAGAAGGGGAGAGUGGAAUUCCAUGUGUAGCGGUGAAAUGCGUAGAUAUAUGGAGGAACACCGGUGGCGAAAGCGGCUCUCUGGUCUGUAACUGACGCUGAGGCUCGAAAGCGUGGGGAGCGAACAGGAUUAGAUACCCUGGUAGUCCACGCCGUAAACGAUGAGUGCUAGGUGUUGGAUCCUUUCCGGGAUUCAGUGCCGCAGCUAACGCAUUAAGCACUCCGCCUGGGGAGUACGACCGCAAGGUUGAAACUCAAAGGAAUUGACGGGGGCCCGCACAAGCGGUGGAGCAUGUGGUUUAAUUCGAAGCAACGCGAAGAACCUUACCAGGUCUUGACAUCCCGAUGCUAUUUCUAGAGAUAGAAAGUUACUUCGGUACAUCGGUGACAGGUGGUGCAUGGUUGUCGUCAGCUCGUGUCGUGAGAUGUUGGGUUAAGUCCCGCAACGAGCGCAACCCCUAUUGUUAGUUGCCAUCAUUCAGUUGGGCACUCUAGCGAGACUGCCGGUAAUAAACCGGAGGAAGGUGGGGAUGACGUCAAAUCAUCAUGCCCCUUAUGACCUGGGCUACACACGUGCUACAAUGGUUGGUACAACGAGUUGCGAGUCGGUGACGGCAAGCUAAUCUCUUAAAGCCAAUCUCAGUUCGGAUUGUAGGCUGCAACUCGCCUACAUGAAGUCGGAAUCACUAGUAAUCGCGGAUCAGCACGCCGCGGUGAAUACGUUCCCGGGCCU